CUGAAUAUUCUCCAUGCCUGAAUAUUCUCCAUGAAGCCAUGGAAGCUCUUGGUACUAACAUAAGACGCAAUGACAAGAAGUGACAUUUACCAGUAACAUCUCCAACAUCAACAGUUACUGAGAGCUCCAGAUCGACUGAACCUCAUUCGAAGACAUUCCAGAUGCAUCGAUUGUCAAUCUGGAGACACUGCGAUCCAAUGUUCAAGAGGAACUUGCAGACAUUGUAACAAACGAUAUAAUACGUUAUUGCAUCUACCGACAACUUAUGACAAUUCAUCCUUAAAACAAUAUCAGCAGGAGGGCAUUGAAUCAAGCACCAGCCAAACAAACAAUCUAUGGCUGAAGCGGUGACGUUAACAGCUAUAACAGUGCAGCCAUGGACCUAAUACAUGAUACUAUGCACAGCUCUUGUUAGCAUAAAAGGCAAUAAUCAAUUGUAGAGCAAUCCUAGAUUCGGGAUCCCAAAUCAACAUCCUGUCCGAGCGGAUCUGCAAAAAACUACAACUAAAUCAGCAGUUGAGUGGUAUUAAAAUUCAAGGCAUUGGAUAUGGACACUACAGGACGAGUUGUUAAGAUCACAGGCGACAGCAUUCUCAACAAGAGUAGAAACAUUCAAUUCCAAGGACAUGGCCCUGCGCAGAUUCCACGGAGCUAUAAAAGGAAUAUAUUAAAUUCAUGGAGUAUCUGGCUUUAGGUAACACGCAGGAAAUAACAAAGGUUCGUAACACGCACUACUAUCGUGUUUGAUGCAUCAACUAAAACUAGUUCCAACGUCGCACUCAACCACAUCCUAUUCAAGGUUCCAAAGGUAUGUCAUGACAGCAGAUAUUGUGAAGACGUAUCGUCAGAUAAAACUCUAUCCAGAAGACCGGAACUUUCAUACGACAAUAUCAACUGAAUACAGUGACAUAUGGGACAAAAUCAGCACCAUACUUUGCGACUAAAUGCUUGGAAAAACUCGCAAAGGGGGAGCUAUUCAAAUAUCCUAACGCAUCAAAAGCAGUAUUCCUAAAUUGCUAUGCCGAUGACAUAAUGACCAGAUGCAACAGUAUUCCGGAAUUAUUGAAGACUCAAUCGGAGCUCAGCAUACUAUUCGCUCAAGCCCCAACUUUGUGCUGCUAAAUUGGCUGCUGAAUUGGCAGAUCGUAUCAAGGAAAUAUUAUACUUAGCAUGAUAGACAUACGAACCAUAUUGGACAGAUCCCCAUAUAGUGUUAUCGUGGAUUCAAUCGCAGUCUUCAGCUUCAGAUUUAAUAUUUAAGGAAGAACAAUAUCGAAUAAAGACAUCCUGUUACAGA